rnacentral:rRNA from 1 species
GACGAACGCUGGCGGCGUGCUUAACACAUGCAAGUCGAGCGGUAAGGCCCUUUCGGGGGUACACGAGCGGCGAACGGGUGAGUAACACGUGGGUGACCUGCCCUUAGCUCUGGGAUAAGCCUGGGAAACUGGGUCUAAUACCGGAUAUGACUCCAUGACGCAUGUUGUGGGGUGGAAAGCCUUGUGCGGCUAGGGAUGGGCCCGCGGCCUAUCAGCUUGUUGGUGGGGUGAUGGCCUACCAGGGCGACGACGGGUAGCCGGCCUGAGAGGGCGACCGGCCACACUGGGACUGAGACACGGCCCAGACUCCUACGGGAGGC